rnacentral:lncRNA from 1 species
CAUUACCGAUCUUGGCCUCCUGAGCCCUGUCUCUCUGUCGAGCUGGUUGGCCCCGCCCCACCAGGCAAGACGCAGAAGGCGGCAGCCCCGACGUCUGGCAGUUUGCUUUCUGGGGUUUAUUACAAAACUUUGGGCCAGAAAUUCCUCCCUUCAUGGAUCAAGCAACGGAGCUCGUCCUACUGAAGCUGGGGCUUUGGAAUCAUAGGACUUCGGUUUGAAUCCCAGAUCACCCAGUUUUUAGCUGAGGGGUUUGAGACAGUGUCUUUACAGUUGGAGACUCAUUCCCUCAUCCGUAAAAUGGAGACCAAAAUACUACCUUCCUCCUAAAGCUUGUGAGGAUUAAAUGAGAUCACCCGUGUGAAGAGCUUAGCAUGGAACCUGGUUCAUAAGGAGUUGUUACUACUAUCAAUAUUACUAUUAUCAUUAUUAGUUCCUGGCAGAACCAGACCUAGAAUCCAGGCCCUCUUACUCUAGGGCCUGUGCAGCUGCCCUGUCCCUCCAGGACCUCAACCUGAUUCCAAUAUCAUGUUCUAUUGUGCGUGGGGCAGUGCCAGAUGCUUGGGUCACAAGCCACCCCCAGACAGCUGAGCACCUCACCACUUGUGCCUGCAGCCUGUGCAGCGCACAGUGUCCCCCAGCAGAGGCCUUGGCCCCCAGGUGUCACUCCCACAGACCCUCCAUCUGUUGGUUGAGAAGCCACUGGGAACCAGGAGGCUGAGUCACUUGGGCAAUGACUCAGCCACACCCACCAUGAACUCUCAAUGACUCGAGGAGAAGAAUGGCAUGGAUAAUCUAGAAAAAAUGGACAGUGGGAAAGAACUCCAGUGCUCUCAUGGAGUGCACGGAUCAUGAUUUGCUGCACUGGGGGAGCCGCUGGAUGGAUUCAUUCAUUAUAGUCUCGUCUCUGGCUGAUACUAAAUCUACUUGUUCCUGAGAGCACCUGCGGCCAUCAUGACAGGCUCAGUAUCACAGGGCCUAGUGAAAGAAACUCCCUCUGGCCAAGGACAACAGAAUAAAAACGUAACUGAGUCCCAGAUAUGCUAGUGUUUUCCACCAUUGCAUCUCUAAGAUAUCAACAGGACCUGGAAAGAUGAGAGUGAGUUCACUGUCCCCCCAUGGGCUGAGGUUGCUGGAAUGCUGGAACAGAGAGAAACUGGGAGGUUUUAGAAUGCUCUGGCUUCAGAAUGAAGGGAGCAGAGUGACGAGUGCUGCAAGCUGCAUGGAGCGGCCAAUUGAAAAAGCUAUCGAAGUCAGAACAGCACUGGAAGCGUUGACCCUGAAGAUGCAUGCCUGGAGAGAGGAUUUUUUUCUCUUUUUUUGCACUUUUUAUUGCAGUAAUGCAGGGACAUUCUGUGAGUAGAAUCCAGGGGGCCAUCAAGCCUGCGUUCAGGUGGCUGUGCGGGAAGGGGUUUUGAUCCUGUUCUGAGAAAGCUGUCUUGGGGCCCAGGCAGAGAGCACAUUACUGUGUUAGAGCCUUGAGUGGUUAAGAGAAAGUUCUUGGUUGAAUUGGGAAAGGGACCUGUAAAUAGCUGUAAAAUCCUGAACUAGCCGUGCCUCCUUCUGUGCUAGAUGCAGUCCUGGAGGCAGAGGCGCAGGCGACUCGAGGUCAAACCACUUCUGCUGCUAACUUGGGCAAAUCACACCACCUCUCUGCACCUGUCGGUGAGAGGCUUGGCCUAAAUGGUAUGUCAGCCUCUCCUAGUCUCAGUUGUCUCCCAUUUGUGGAUGCCAUUUCAGGGAUAGAGAAAUCGGAGACUAUUGAUAAAGACUGCAAAAGUGCAGAUUUGCUCAUAACAUGGAAACUCUCAGAGAGCUAGUCCCUACCAGGGAAGGAUGGAGUGGUCUGCCCUGGGCGCUAGGAAUAAGGAAGAGCAUUGUUGAUGGAGAAUUUUAAAACAAUAAUGAAACCAAGGAAAAGUCAGUCUGCUUUUUAGGAUCACCACGCAUGGACAAUUCUAAGCAAUGUCAGGAAUAAAAUACUCCUCCUCACCUGGGUGGACCACUCCCACCAUCCCCCUCCUUGGUUUGCCACUGUUUACCUGAACAAUUCUCUUUUUAUUCAGUGCUCUUUCAAUUCCUCUGACUACAAAGGGGGAGAAAUUCGCUAUGGUGUUAACUCUUUCAUUACCACCCCUUAGUGUUGAUUUGUCUCCAGUAAAGAAGAGUGAUGAGUUACUUUGAGACACAGCAGUGGACCGGAGUGCAACCAAGGAAGCAGGAACAAUAAAAAUGGAGAGAAAAGAAGAUGGAGUGAGGUGUGGAAUGUGUUGAGUAGUGGCUUAGAAAGUGAAGCCCUGAACACAUGGUCUAUGGCCAGGAUGGGGACAGCUCCCCGAAGGCCCAGGUCAGGCUGGACAUGUGGUGCCUAAGAACAGACUGCAGCUGCAUCUCCCUUCUGCUUUCUCAGAUCCCUGGCACUCUGGAGCUUUCCUUUGCGGCACUGUAGAUGCAUUUCUUAGAAGUGAUCUGCUCUGCACUCCUCAUGUCACACCACCCACCAUCCUCCUUUGGGUUGGAUUUCCUUCUCACUGUGUCCCAGUGUCUAGAAUAUGAAGGGACUUUGCCACCCCUCUGGGGACUUGCAUAUCCUGCAUUGAUGCCUCUCUUCUGUAGGCUUGGUCCCCUUGGUGCCCAACCUCCUGCUUGAUGGUGUUGCUUUGGGGUGUGUUCACAUUCUCCAAGGAGCCCUUCCCGAAAGCAGUAAAAAUAACCUGU